CACAAGGGCAGCCAGUUAACGUCUGGAUCUGUGCACAGCUGAAUCAUCAGACUAGGAAAUUCCACAUCCGAUUCUCCUGGUGCAAUGGGCACACAGAUGUCAGCAUGGUUCUCUUUCAGGGGCGCCUGCACCUCCUUGGCCUUCCGUCUGUGCCAUGCCAGGUUCCCAUUGAAGAGGUCUUUGAUGGUGUUCAGCAGCCAAGUGAAACCGAAGUGGAUUCGAGCGAUGG